rnacentral:rRNA from 1 species
UCCAUAGGUUAAUGAGGCGAACCGGGGGAACUGAAACAUCUAAGUACCCCGAGGAAAAGAAAUCAACCGAGAUUCCCCCAGUAGCGGCGAGCGAACGGGGAGGAGCCCAGAGCCUGAAUCAGCAUGUGUGUUAGUGGAAGCGUCUGGAAAGGCGCGCGAUACAGGGUGACAGCCCCGUACACAAAAGCGCAUGUGCUGUGAGCUCGAUGAGUAGGGCGGGACACGUGGUAUCCUGUCUGAAUAUGGGGGGACCAUCCUCCAAGGCUAAAUACUCCUGACUGACCGAUAGUGAACCAGUACCGUGAGGGAAAGGCGAAAAGAACCCCGGCGAGGGGAGUGAAAAAGAACCUGAAACCGUGUACGUACAAGCAGUGGGAGCACCCUUUGGGGUGUGACUGCGUACCUUUUGUAUAAUGGGUCAGCGACUUAUAUUCUGUAGCAAGGUUAACCGAAUAGGGGAGCCGGAGGGAAACCGAGUCUUAAUUGGGCGUUAAGUUGCAGGGUAUAGACCCGAAACCCGGUGAUCUAGCCAUGGGCAGGUUGAAGGUUGGGUAACACUAACUGGAGGACCGAACCGACUAAUGUUGAAAAAUUAGCGGAUGACCUGUGGCUGGGGGUGAAAGGCCAAUCAAACCGGGAGAUAGCUGGUUCUCCCCGAAAGCUAUUUAGGUAGCGCCUCGUGAAUUCAUCUCCGGGGGUAGAGCACUGUUUCGGCUAGGGGGCCAUCCCGGCUUACCAACCCGAUGCAAACUGCGAAUACCGGAGAAUGUUAUCACGGGAGACACACGGCGGGUGCUAACGUCCGUCGUGAAGAGGGAAACAACCCAGACCGCCAGCUAAGGUCCCAAAGUCAUGGUUAAGUGGGAAACGAUGUGGGAAGGCCCAGACAGCCAGGAUGUUGGCUUAGAAGCAGCCAUCAUUUAAAGAAAGCGUAAUAGCUCACUGGUCGAGUCGGCCUGCGCGGAAGAUGUAACGGGGCUAAACCAUGCACCGAAGCUGCGGCAGCGAACGUAUCACUUAAAGCGAUUCAGCGGGUUACGAUUGACGGAGCGAAGCGACGUCAAAGCGUAUACAAAGUCGAGUCGGUUUAAGGAUACGUUCGUUGGGUAGGGGAGCGUUCUGUAAGCCUGUGAAGGUGGCCUGUGAGGGUUGCUGGAGGUAUCAGAAGUGCGAAUGCUGACAUAAGUAACGAUAAAGCGGGUGAAAAGCCCGCUCGCCGGAAGACCAAGGGUUCCUGUCCAACGUUAAUCGGGGCAGGGUGAGUCGACCCCUAAGGCGAGGCCGAAAGGCGUAGUCGAUGGGAAACGGGUUAAUAUUCCCGUACUUGGUGUUACUGCGAAGGGGGGACGGAGAAGGCUAUGUUGGCCGGGCGACGGUUGUCCCGGUUUAAGCGUGUAGGUGUGUGUUCCAGGUAAAUCCGGUUCACUUUAACACUGAGGCGUGAUGACGAGGCACUACGGUGCUGAAGCAACAAAUGCCCUGCUUCCAGGAAAAGCCUCUAAGCAUCAGGUAACAUCAAAUCGUACCCCAAACCGACACAGGUGGUCAGGUAGAGAAUACCAAGGCGCUUGAGAGAACUCGGGUGAAGGAACUAGGCAAAAUGGUGCCGUAACUUCGGGAGAAGGCACGCUGACACGUAGGUGAAGUGAUUUACUCAUGGAGCUGAAGUCAGUCGAAGAUACCAGCUGGCUGCAACUGUUUAUUAAAAACACAGCACUGUGCAAACACGAAAGUGGACGUAUACGGUGUGACGCCUGCCCGGUGCCGGAAGGUUAAUUGAUGGGGUCAGCGCAAGCGAAGCUCCUGAUCGAAGCCCCGGUAAACGGCGGCCGUAACUAUAACGGUCCUAAGGUAGCGAAAUUCCUUGUCGGGUAAGUUCCGACCUGCACGAAUGGCGUAAUGAUGGCCAGGCUGUCUCCACCCGAGACUCAGUGAAAUUGAACUCGCUGUGAAGAUGCAGUGUACCCGCGGCAAGACGGAAAGACCCCGUGAACCUUUACUAUAGCUUGACACUGAACAUUGAGCCUUGAUGUGUAGGAUAGGUGGGAGGCUUUGAAGUGUGGACGCCAGUCUGCAUGGAGCCGACCUUGAAAUACCACCCUUUAAUGUUUGAUGUUCUAACGUGGACCCGUAAUCCGGGUUGCGGACAGUGUCUGGUGGGUAGUUUGACUGGGGCGGUCUCCUCCUAAAGAGUAACGGAGGAGCACGAAGGUUGGCUAAUCCUGGUCGGACAUCAGGAGGUUAGUGCAAUGGCAUAAGCCAGCUUGACUGCGAGCGUGACGGCGCGAGCAGGUGCGAAAGCAGGUCAUAGUGAUCCGGUGGUUCUGAAUGGAAGGGCCAUCGCUCAACGGAUAAAAGGUACUCCGGGGAUAACAGGCUGAUACCGCCCAAGAGUUCAUAUCGACGGCGGUGUUUGGCACCUCGAUGUCGGCUCAUCACAUCCUGGGGCUGAAGUAGGUCCCAAGGGUAUGGCUGUUCGCCAUUUAAAGUGGUACGCGAGCUGGGUUUAGAACGUCGUGAGACAGUUCGGUCCCUAUCUGCCGUGGGCGCUGGAGAACUGAGGGGGGCUGCUCCUAGUACGAGAGGACCGGAGUGGACGCAUCACUGGUGUUCGGGUUGUCAUGCCAAUGGCACUGCCCGGUAGCUAAAUGCGGAAGAGAUAAGUGCUGAAAGCAUCUAAGCACGAAACUUGCCCCGAGAUGAGUUCUCCCUGAGACUUAGAGUC